CUAGCUCCCUCGGGGGAACGCUUAUCUCUCUCUCUCUCUCUCUCUCUCUCUCUCUCUCUCUCUCUCUCUCACUCUCUCCGUUCUCUCUGGUUAAAUAGCUUCACCGACGACCUUGCCGCCGUGAUCGGCUAACUUCCGGCAGCUUCUCUUUCUAUUUUUUAUUUGGCUCUAGAAUGGCGAAUAUGUGUGCCGACAGUGGCAAUCUUAUGGCGAUUGCUCAGCAAGUUAUGAAGCAGAAGCAGCAACAGGAGCAGCAACAGCAGCAGCCUCCACAACAGCCGCCGCAGCAGCAGCUCACUAGCCCUUCCACUUUUACUCUGAACCCAUGGAGUGGCUCGAACCAUGGUCUAUCCAGUCCAGAUUUGGGGUUUGGGCUUGCCGGAGCUGGAUUUUCCGAUCCGUUUCAGGUGCAGAGAGUGGUCGACGGUGGAGAAACGAGCUUUCAGUUUCCGAACUUAGAGCACCAUUCUUCUUCUUUCAGAUAUCCCGAUUUCGACGGCGGCGCUGCUGCAGAUUUCGACUCCGAUGAGUGGAUGGAGAGUCUAAUGGCUGGUGGAGAUUCAACGGAUAGCUCUAAUCUCCCUUCUGGUUGCGACGCGUGGCACGCUAAUUCGGAUAUUGCUCUCUACGGUGAUGAUCCCUUUGUCCCCUGUCCCAGUCGCCUCACCAUCCCCUGUUCUUCACCCUCCGAUCUCAACAGAGUCAUUUUCCCGGAACCUCCGAAAAAUCAAGCCGCCAUUCUACCGCCUGUGGUUUCAUGGACCGGGCUUACUCCCAAGACUCCACCGGUGGUGGUUAAGGACACUAACGGCUGUUCGUCGAGUUCUGCAGAGAACGAACCGAAACCGCCACUUCUGAAAACCCUAAUUGAAUGUGCUAGACUUUCUGAAUCGGAACCAAAUCGGGCGGCGCAAAUAUUUAUCCAGCUUAAGGAAUCGUCAUCGGAGCAUGGAGAUCCGACGGAGAGAGUCGCUUUUUACUUCCUCGAAGCUCUGUACCGGAGAUUAUCACUUCAAACGGAGAAUCGUUUGGUUUGUUUGGAAUCCACUUCAGAUGAUUUCACCAUUUCUUACAAAGCUCUCAACGACGCCUGCCCGUACUCUAAAUUCGCCCAUUUGACUGCGAAUCAAGCGAUACUCGAAAUGACAGAGAACGCGAGCAAGAUUCACAUAAUCGACUUUGGAAUUUCUCAGGGAGUUCAAUGGGCGGCGCUUCUUCAAGCUCUCGCAACCCGCUCCUCCGGAAAACCAACCGGAAUCCGGAUCUCCGGCAUUCCAGCUCCGAUGCUCGGAAACUGCCCAGCCACAGCGCUGUUCGCGACGGGUAAUCGACUGGCCGAGUUCGCCAAGCUUCUAGAACUGAACUUCGAAUUUGACCGAAUCCUCACCCCAAUCGAAGAACUGAAAGAAUCCUCGUUCCGAAUCGACUCCGACGAAACCCUCGCCGUGAAUUUCAUGCUUCAACUUUACAAUCUCCUCGACGAAACUCCUCGCGUCGUUCUGAACGUUUUGCGACUCGCUAAAUCACUGAACCCUAAAAUCGUAACCCUAGGCGAAUACGAAGCCAGCCUGAAUCGGGUCGGGUUCUUUAACCGGUUCAAGAACGCACUCCGAUACUACUCAGCCGUGUUCGAAUCACUGGACCCAAAAUUACCUCGCAACUCAAACGAAAGGCUGCAACUGGAAAAGCUCGUACUGGGGCGGCAGAUCGGCGACAUUGUCGGACCAGAGUCGUCGCCGGGAGCCAAAAUCGAACGGAUGGAAGACAAAGAACAGUGGAAAAUGAUGAUGGAAAAUUGCGGGUUUGAAGCGGUAAAUCUCAGCCAUUACGCGAAAAGUCAAGCUCAAAUCCUUUUAUGGAAGUAUGAUUACAGCUGUGAGUAUUCUUUGAUCGAAUCCUCGCCUGGAUUUCUCUCGUUGGCCUGGAAUCAAGUCCCGAUCAUUACAGUUUCUUCCUGGCGUUGAAACGAAACCAGUAAUGGAGAGGCGCAUGGACAACUCAUUUUGGAUCGGGCCGAGCGUCUCAAUGCUGAUAUGAUCUUCGCUAUGCUGAGCUGUCGGAUCUGCUGGUUGUGUUGAUGCCUGAAAUGCCCAAGUGGAACAGUCUCGAUUGUCCUGUACGAGCUCCUUUCCUUCAAUACCCGUCAUCUGUACUCCUGCAACUCACAGUCUUAGGUUAGAAAAUGAUUAUUGGUUUGCUAGCGUUGGUUGAUUGAAUGUAUUAUUAUCUUUUGCGACGGGAAGAUACGAGAUAGGGGUAUUUGAUCAUACCAUCCGUAUGUGAUGUCUUUGUUAUGCAUCAUCUAUAUUGGGUUCAUGAUUUGAUAUGGUUGUUGUUGUAGAGACCGUUUGGGAGAGACCUGUAGCUCAAAGGUGGUAGAGCGCUCAAGGCCAAUAAGGCUGAUGCUGGUUUAGAUAUUGAACUUCCAUUCACUCGCUGCAGCCACCAUUCUCACUUUGCCUUCUUACUCUGCAGUCGAGCUGAGAACGUCAGCAAUUUCGUGGAAGCUGAGUCCCAUCUUCGGUCCGUCCCUUUUACUGACGUUGCCUGAGAUAUGUAUUUUCAACCAUCAACACACAUGUUCAACAAAAUUUAGAUCAGUUUCCACGGGAACGAGAAAUCGAAUCAAAAAGGUACUAGUCUAGCACAUAGAUUCUGGAGGCAAUGUCUUGGACCAACC